rnacentral:rRNA from 1 species
CAUGUAUAAGUAUAACCUGCCAGACAGGGAAACUGCGUACGGCUCAUUACACCAGCCUUAAUUUACUUGACCUUGACAACCUACUUGGAUAACUGUGGUAAUUCUAGAGCUAAUACAUGCACCAAAGCUCCGAUCCCUUGCGGAGAGGAGCGCAUUUGUUCGCCACAAAACCAAGCGCCCUCACGGGCGUUCAGUGUUGACUCAGAAUAACUAAGCUGAUCGCACGGUCUUGCACCGGCGACGUGUCUUUCAAGUGUCUGCCUUAUCAACUUUCGAUGGUAGUGUACCUGACUACCAUGGUGAUGACGGGUAACGGAGGAUCAGGGUUCGACUCCGGAGAAGGGGCCUGAGAAAUGGCCACUACGUCUAAGGAUGGCAGCAGGCGCGCAAAUUACCCACUCUCAACGCGAGGAGGUAGUGACGAGAAAUAACGAGACCGUUCUCACAAGAGGCCGGUCAUCGGAAUGGGUACAACACAAACCCUUUAACGAGUAUCUAUGAGAGGGCAAGUCUGGUGCCAGCAGCCGCGGUAAUUCCAGCUCUCAAAAUGCAUAGAAUUAUUGCUGCGGUUAAAAAGCUCGUAGUUGGAUCUGUGCUGGUCGCCCGGUCCACCCUCUGCGGUGCGCACUGGUGCGGCUGGCUUUCCUGUCCGCUUCCUCACCGGCGUUGGCCUUCAUCGGCAGGCGUCGGCGGGCGGACGAGUUUACUUUGAACAAAUCAGAGUGCUUCACACAGGCGUUUCGCUUGAAUGUUCGUGCAUGGAAUAAUAGAAGAGGAUUUCGGUCCGAUUUUAUUGGUUUUGCUGACCGAGAUAAUGGUUAACAG